rnacentral:rRNA from 1 species
AACGAACGCUGGCGGCAGGCCUAACACAUGCAAGUCGAGCGCCCUUUCGGGGGAGCGGCGGACGGGUGAGUAACGCGUGGGAAUAUGCCCUUCUCUACGGAAUAGCCUCGGGAAACUGAGAGUAAUACCGUAUACGCCCUGUGGGGGAAAGAUUUAUCGGGGAAGGAUUAGCCCGCGUUGGAUUAGGUAGUUGGUGGGGUAAUGGCCUACCAAGCAGACGAUCCAUAGCUGGUUUGAGAGGAUGAUCAGCCACACUGGGACUGAGACACGGCCCAGACUCCUACGGGAGGCAGCAGUGGGGAAUCUUAGACAAUGGGGGCAACCCUGAUCUAGCCAUGCCGCGUGAGUGAUGAAGGCCUUAGGGUUGUAAAGCUCUUUCAGCUGGGAAGAUAAUGACGGUACCAGCAGAAGAAGCCCCGGCUAACUCCGUG